CUUGACCGAGCCGAGCCACAGCGGCCGGUCGGCGGGGCGGUUCUGGCCGUACGUCGCCAGCAGGGCCUGGGCCUC
rnacentral:antisense_RNA from 1 species